AUACUGGUUAAUCAUUUUGCUAAAUUAGCUUCAAUGAGGAAUGAACCCAUUUUAUAAAAUAGGAUAGAUCGAUUGCCUAGUGGGGUUAAGGAGCUUAUUUGAUGGACAAGAUGCAAUUACCUAGCAUAAGGAUAAGAUACGACAAACACCACUUUUUUGUAAGUUACUUAAAGUAGCUUAUUUGUUGAACAAGAUGUACCUAGCAUAAUGAUAAUAUACGAC
rnacentral:lncRNA from 1 species